CACGGCCGGGUUGUGUGCAGGGUGGAGUCACAUGGUCAGGGUAGCGCAGGGGUCCCCGAGGGUCUCCCCUGGUAAAGGCAUGGUGGCGUAGUGUGCAGGGGGAAGUCACAAAGGUAUUGUAUCUAUUGUGCUAACUGUUAUUAAAAACGUUUGUGUUUGUUUUACAGCAAGAUGGAAAAGGGGAAGAAAGGCAAAGGGAAAGAGGGAUCUCAACAGAGACAGGGCCCGGUCCUGUACGCCACCCUCGACCAGUCCAGUAAGCUGAAAGCCGCCGGGUCGGAGAAGAAGAAAUCGGGAGACUCCAAGAAAGAUAAGAAAUAGGAUACGGAGAGCAGAGAGCUAGAUUCAGCCGAAGCAGACCAGCCCCCAACUGCACCCAUCGCCGAACCCAAGAAAAAGGAGUCCAAACGAGAGAGGAAGGAGAGGGAGAAGAGAGAGAGAGAAGGGGAGGAGAGGGGGACCCCCAAGAGAGAGAGGGUCGUGAUGACCAUCGAGAUGGAGCUGAAGAAAGACGGGGAGAGAGGAGAGGAAGACACCGCGGGGGUGCCCAAAAAGUCUCCCAGCUUUCUCGAACAGCUCGCCAGCAAAUUGAGCCCGUCUAAAAAUAACGGUUGAGGGGAAUAAGCAGAAAGGAAAUCGUGGGUCUAAUUGCUGGGUGGAAGUCAAAAAGUAAACGGCCAGUUUUUUUUUAAUGACGUUUUUUUCUUUCUUUCUCGGAAAAACAAAAUCUUAAAUUGUAAUUCUGUUUAACUAGCAAAAGACUCGCUUUGACACACGCGUCUAGUUUAUUCAAG